CUGGGCGCAGCCUGAUCCAGCCAUGCCGCGUGCAGGAUGACGGUCCUAUGGAUUGUAAACUGCUUUUGUACGAGAAGAAACACUGCUUCGUGAAGCAGCUUGACGGUAUCGUAAGAAUAAGGAUCGGCUAACUCCGUGCCAGCAGCCGCGGUAAUACGGAGGAUCCAAGCGUUAUCCGGAAUCAUUGGGUUUAAAGGGUCCGUAGGCGGUUUAGUAAGUCAGUGGUGAAAGCCCAUCGCUCAACGGUGGAACGGCCAUUGAUACUGCUGAACUUGAAUUAUUAGGAAGUAACUAGAAUAUGUAGUGUAGCGGUGAAAUGCUUAGAGAUUACAUGGAAUACCAAUUGCGAAGGCAGGUUACUACUAAUUGAUUGACGCUGAUGGACGAAAGCGUGGGGAGCGAACAGGAUUAGAUACCCUGGUAGUCCACGCCGUA
rnacentral:rRNA from 1 species